AUGAAUAAGAUGAAGAUGAAGAUGAUGAUCAUGGUGGUGGUGGUGGGAUUCCCCUGGGGGCUGUGGGCGCAGCUGAGGCUGGUGGAGGACGGCGGAGGGCUGCGAGCGCCCGGGGAGACCGUGCGCCUCUCCUGCCGGGGAUCCGGCUUCAGCUUCGGGCUUUACGCAGUUUGGUGGUACCGUCAGGCGGCCGGCGGCAGUCUCGAGUGGGUGUCCUACAUUAGCGCUGAUACCUCAGUGAUUGAAUUGGGGCAGUCAGUGCAGGGUCGAGCCGCGGUAUCCCGGAACAGUUCCCGGUCCAUGUCAUUUCUGUCCCUGCGGGACCUGCAGCCCCGGGACUCUGCCCGCUACUUCUGCGCUGUUGCACGGGGACAGGAAAACCAGCUGAGCUUUAACACAAACCUCCUGCCAGGGUCCUAG